UACGUAGGGGGCAAGCGUUGUCCGGAAUCAUUGGGCGUAAAGAGCGUGUAGGCGGCUUGGUAAGUCCGCUGUGAAAGUCCAGGGCUCAACCCUGGAAUGCCGGUGGAAACUGUCAAGCUUGAGUCCGGAAGAGGCGAGUGGAAUUCCUGGUGUAGCGGUGAAAUGCGCAGAUAUCGGGAGGAACACCAAUGGCGAAGGCGGUUUCCUGGACAGUUACUGACGCUCAGGCACGAAAGCAUGGGGAGCAAAAGGG
rnacentral:rRNA from 1 species